rnacentral:rRNA from 1 species
UAGGGAAUCUUCGGCAAUGGGGGCAACCCUGACCGAGCAACGCCGCGUGAGUGAAGAAGGUUUUCGGAUCGUAAAGCUCUGUUGUAAGAGAAGAACGUGUGUGAGAGUGGAAAGUUCACACAGUGACGGUAACUUACCAGAAAGGGACGGCUAACUACGUGACAGCAGCCGCGGUAAUACGUAGGUCCCGAGCGUUGUCCGGAUUUAUUGGGCGUAAAGCGAGCGCAGGCGGUUUAAUAAGUCUGAAGUUAAAGGCAGUGGCUUAACCAUUGUUCGCUUUGGAAACUGUUAAACUUGAGUGCAGAAGGGGAGAGUGGAAUUCCAUGUGUAGCGGUGAAAUGCGUAGAUAUAUGGAGGAACACCGGUGGCGAAAGCGGCUCUCUGGUCUGUAACUGACGCUGAGGCUCGAAAGCGUGGGGAGCAAACAGG